rnacentral:miRNA from 1 species
UGUGUGUGUGCGUGCGCGUGUGUGUGUGUGUGUGUGUGUGUGUGUGUGUGUGUUCAAUCCAUUCACACACCAAAA